rnacentral:rRNA from 1 species
AUUGAACGCUGGCGGCAGGCCUAACGCAUGCAAGUCGAGCGGAUGAAGAGAGCUUGCUCUCUGAUUCAGCGGCGGACGGGUGAGUAAUGCCUAGGAAUCUGCCUGGUAGUGGGGGACAACGUUUCGAAAGGAACGCUAAUACCGCAUACGUCCUACGGGAGAAAGUGGGGGAUCUUCGGACCUCACGCUAUCAGAUGAGCCUAGGUACGAUUAGCUAGUUGGUGAGGUAAAGGCUCACCAAGGCGACGAUCGUUAACUGGUCUGAGAGGAUGAUCAGUCACACUGGAACUGAGACACGGUCCAGACUCCUACGGGAGGCAGCAGUGGGGAAUAUUGGACAAUGGGCGAAAGCCUGAUCCAGCCAUGCCGCGUGUGUGAAGAAGGUCUUCGGAUUGUAAAGCACUUUAAGUUGGGAGGAAGGGCAGUAAGUUAAUACCUUGCUGUUUUGACGUUACCGACAGAAUAAGCACCGGCUAACUUCGUGCCAGCAGCCGCCGUAAUAC